rnacentral:tRNA from 1 species
AUCUAAAUAGUUUAUAAAAACAUUAAUAUGUGAAAUUAAAAAUAACUCUUAAACUUAAGUUUUUAGAUU